rnacentral:tRNA from 1 species
CGGGCCAUAGCUCAGUUGGUUAGAGCGCCACGUUGACAUCGUGGAGGUCACAGGUUCGAAUCCCGUUGGUCCGACCA